CUGAUUAUGCAUGGGCUGGAGCUGCCUCCUCUAACCUGUUCUUCUCCGAGCCGGGCAGCCGGCGGUCCUCAGCCGCCCACAGAACAGGAGCCGAAACAACCGUUCCCGAAGGCUAAGGCGUUUAUUUUUCUCUUUUGGGGGUUUUGGCGGUUGUUUCAGGGGCUCGCCAACUGGCCCCUUUAAUUAAAAGCUUCAAUAAAAGGCGAUCGCGCCAGGAAUGCACGGGCUGCUCUUCGCGCAGGAUUUGCAUAUUUUUUUAAUGCCCUAAUUUCCUUGAUGUAUGUAAAUGUAGCCGGACGUAGAGGGAGACAGGGAGCUGACGUCAAUGGACGUGACCUCGCAGCUAAACCUUGAACGUGAAGCCGGGAUGGGGGAAAACACGGAGCGGCAGCCGGCGGAGCCCGCGCGCGCGGGCGGCUGCGUCGCGGCGGCCGAGUCCAGGCCCGAGAGGGCCGAGGGCGCCCGCGCCAGCCCCGGGGGAGCCGGGCCGCCGCCUCCCCGCCCCGCCGCCGGCUCCAGCCCCCCGGCUCUCCGUCCGCGCGCCCGGGCUCGUGUCCUGCGCCUCCGGCUGCACCCAAAACACGUCCUUUUGCUUCUCUCAGAAAAAAACAAACAAAAACACCCGAACCAAAGCAACAGAUCAUAAACCCAAUCAAACCCCAAAUGUCUUAGACCAAUGCUUGGGCAGCUCAUCAGAAAGAGACUCUGACAAUAGAACGUGUUGGGUUUGUUGUUUUUUUUUUUCCCUUCCUCCUCUUCUCCCACAAGGCGAGAAGGCGGGGGGGGGGGGUUGGGGGGGGGGAGACCUCAGACAACAGCAAAUCAUUCCUAAAACACGCUAAGUUACACGUGUUUCCAGUCGGGAGAGGUAAACCGCCCAGUCGACUGGAGGGGGCUUCUCGUGUCGACGCCAAAAGGAGCCUGUUUGUGUACUGCAGCCGCCCUGUGACUCUGGAUCUUGUCUUUUGGCCGGCGCCUCGAUUCCUGCCCAGCUGGAUUUGGGGGGCAACACUGCCUGGUGCAGGCAUGAGAGCAAAUGACAUUACAAAGAAGCAUAAAAUGAAUAGACAGUCCAGCCAAUCAAAGACCGGGGGCAGCAGCACGCCAGCAAGACGGCAUCUUCUCCCCAGCCUAGAAGCCCUGUGAAAUCGAGGAUCUUCCCCCUAAAACACACACACACAAGAUAUGUGCAAUCAAGCUGCCACCGCUUGGUAAAAAAGCCUAACCCAAAAGGAUCUGGAGCAGAUCCCUGAAUCAGCUGUCACUUCUUCUAUAGAAUGGGAUUUUUUUUUUCCUUCCUCCUUAACCUGCGCUGGAAAUUGCCUUUGGCUUUAUACAUCUUUAUAGAGGGAGGCAAAAGAGUCUUGCGUGAGAAUGAAGCAAUUUACAAUGCAAAUAGAGGCCGGUGAAGGGACGGAUGAUGCUGCUCACUCCUAACAGCUUGCUGCACCUUAGUAGCUGGUUUUAUUUUCUGAUAUUAAUAGUUGAAUUGUUGGCUAACGCUGGCGGAGAUUACUUGCUGAAAGGAAAAAAAAGUUCGGAAUAAACUUUGAAAGCCACAGAUCUCGUUUGGAUGUUUUAGCCGCACACACAAACAGAACCCAGGUCAUGUUUACACACCAGGAGGAAUCUGAUGCGCGGCAAGUAUCCUGGAGGACUACUCUUCGGUACUGCCAGAAAGGAUCGGGAUCUGGAGUCCGGCCAGAGGAAGACAGAGGUGUGUGAGGGAAGCGAGUUGUUAUCUUUGGUUAUCUAGCUGUAUGAGUGUAUUGGUCUUCAUAAAGCUAGAUAACCGAAAGUAAAAACUCCUUCAAGAUCGCCGGGCAGCGUGUGAGAAUGAAAGCCUCCAACCAACAGACAGUAAAAACCAGAAAGGUCAGGAAUACUUAUUGAAUCUAACUUUGUUUUUGUUUUUGUUUUUGUUUUUUUUUCCCCUUAUAAUUAAAGGUGGGAUUAGAGGAAGUGAAAUGGCACACAUAUACCAAAACAUAAAGGUGCCAGAUACUUUGAGAGGCGUUGUUACAGCUGCAAAGGAGAAUUGUAUAGAGCUAAUGAGUAAAAAGAUGCACGUGCAGUUUGUUUUAUUUUAAGGCAAAAGUUUACAUAUGAGGUUUUUUUUUCUUUAGAAAGCUAUUUGUAGAGCUGUCUGGUACUUAGUUUAAAAAUGAUUCUAUAAUGUGUGGAUUUAUGUAGUUCCCUUCUGAGGGCCCCCCUCCCCUGAAAAUUGGAAGAUUAUGUCUCCAAACUACAUGUAUUGGGGUUGUAUGACAAAUUAUAUGAAUUAGACUUUCAGAAAAGUUUAUACUGGAAGGUUAACAAUUUAUAGCUACUAAGGACAUAGAACUAGCAGGGAAAUGCAAAAAAAAAAAAAAAAAGCAAAGGCUGAUUUUUAUUCUUCUAUUCAAAAUACAAGGACAGAUGCUUCUCUGUUCCAAGAGGGUUUCCUUGAGGAAGCUACUGAAGCAGAAAGACAUGAUGGAGACGAGAUCGCCUCCCCUCUUGUCAAAGUGUUAAAAAAAUGUUCUGUCUUACUCUGCGCCUAGCAUUGGAAAUGAAAGUGACAUUUACGCCACAACCCACGUGUGCGCCUCCUCUCUUUUUGUUUAAGGAUGAUCAGGUCUAUCCAGGAAACAGCUCUGGCAUCCCAAACUGAAAUAAUUAGGACGUAUAUAGACCUGACAAAAAUGGAAAGGGGGUGGGGAAUCUGAGGGUCUGUCUUGCCUAAUUGAUUCCGCUAAACGGAAUGCAGGAGAUGUGAACGGCAGGACGCUCCGAUUCCCACGCUCGGGGGCAAGUGGUAAAGCGGGCCGGCAGCCUAUGACAGACAGCCCUGUUGGGGGGUGGGGGUAUGAAAAAAACAUCAAGUGCACACACACCAUACUCAUCUCCAUCGCUUAAGAAAGUAGAGGCAUUUCCCACCCACAGCCAUCUGCAGCCUCCCAAAUGGCAACACCAACUGGUCUGUAGCUGCUGCAUACUGUCUGUUUCUGUUAAUUUUAUAACCGCUGCUUAAUCUGUCCACAAUUAAGUUUGGCUUUCUUCUUUGGUUGAGAUUUUCAAUAUUUUUUAAAGAGAGCUUGUGCAAAGUGGUUCCAAGAAAGAACCAUUACUGCCUGCCCCUGGUGUCAAAUUCUCAGUCUGUACUUUGGCCUUGUGUCCACCUUUUGGUUUUUGUUUUGGGUGGCUUCUGUGGAAAAAGCUCUAUCUUUUGACAAUAGGCAUUGUUAUCACUUCCUCACACUGUUUACUUCUUAACCUGAUAAAUCUAGGAACUUGGCCUAAGUCUGCUGGUACACACACUAGAACUAAAGAAAGGCCAUUACAAUAACAAUAUGAUAAAAGUUGUUUUGGCAUAGUCCCAGCUAGAUGUGUUCUAAACAGUCAUUUGCAUUUUAUCUAAAAAUGACUAUGUUUAGCAAAAACUUUGGCUCUUUGGAAGUCCCCACUGUAAUCUUCUCAUAAAAGUCCUUACAUUUUUUUCUUGUGUUACCAAGCAAGUAUUCGUACAGGCACGACAUUGCAAUAAGCAAAUGCCCAAAAUGGCACGUUACCUUCCAUGUGGUCUAGGUUGCUGACAACCCCAAAUCCCAAAUACAUAAUUUUUCUUCAAAAAACAGUAUGUUUUUCUUUGUAGCUUCAAUUCUUUAUAAGACUUGAGAAGACUUUACAGACUGAAAAGCCUGUAAAACCAUUGUUAGUUUCAGUUAGAAACUCCAAGACACUUUAUUAACGUAAAUUCCCAAUUUGGCUGCUGAACACGUGCCAAAGUUUUACUACUGUAGUGACCGUUGAGAAGACCCUUGUUUAUUUACAUUUGAAGCACUGUUUGUGCAAACAACCUUUCAUUGUUAAGUGCCUGUAUUCCUUUCAUUUACUUCAUGUCCAGGGGUGCUAUUUACCUAGAACCAUUGUCUACUACAAUUAACAUUUACAUUACAAAGUGUGUGGUUUUCUUUCUCAAGGAGGUUCAAUUAAGGCAAUAAGAUGUUUGCUGGGGAAACCUAUUGUUUACUGAAAGCACUCAAUGGAGUCAAAUUACUGAAGCUUUUGCCUACAUCUUGGUCUUUUAUGCAAAUAUGUUAAAUAUAACAUCUAAGGAAAAUAAACAAUAUUAUAAUUAUGUGUUUACCAUUGUCAUAUCAAACUUGCUUUGUAUCAUACUAAUGUUACAUGACUUAUCGAUCAAUAAAAAUACAUUUC